rnacentral:rRNA from 1 species
AAUGAACGCUGGCGGCAGGCCUAACACAUGCAAGUCGAGAGGAGCGGCGGACGGGUGAGUAAUGCCUACGAAUCUGCCUGGUAGUGGGUGAUAACGUCCGGCAACGGGCGCUAAUCACGAAUACUAUCAGAUGAGGCUAGGUGGGAUUAGGUAGUUGGUGUGGUAGAGGCCUACCAAGGCGACCAGCCGUAACUGGUGUGAGAGGAUGAUCAGUCAAACUGGAACUGAGGCACGUGCCAGACUCCUCCGGGUGGCAGCAGUGGGGAAUGUUGCGGAAUGGGCUAAAGCCGGGUCAAGCCAUGCCUCGUGAGGUAAGAGGGUCUUCGGAUUUUAAGGCUCUUUAACUUGGGAGGCGUUACCUACAGAAUAAGCCCCGGCUAACUUCGUGCCAGCAGCCGCGGUAAUAC